UCCGGUUUGUCACCGGCAGUCCCAUUAGAGUGAUCAACUAAAUGUAGCAACUAAUGGCAAGGGUUGCGCUCGUUGCGGGACUUAACCCAACAUCUCACGACACGAGCUGACGACAGCCAUGCAGCACCUGAUGAAGGCUCCCCUUGCGGGGUCGUUACCGUUUCCGGCUCCUACCACCUCCACUUCAAGCCCGGGUAAGGUUCUUCGCGUUGCAUCGAAUUGAACCACAUGCUCCACCGCUUGUGCGAGCCCCCGUCAAUUCCUUUGAGUUUUAGCCUUGCGGCCGUACUCCCCAGGCAGGGCACUUAAUGCGUUAGCUACGGCACCGGAGGGGUCGAUACCCCCGACACCUAGUGCCCACCGUUUACGGCGUGGACUAC
rnacentral:misc_RNA from 1 species